rnacentral:rRNA from 1 species
CCUACGGGAGGCAGCAGUGGGGAAUAUUGGACAAUGGGCGCAAGCCUGAUCCAGCAAUGCCGCGUGUGUGAAGAAGGCCUUCGGGUUGUAAAGCACCAGACAUCCAUUACCGGUACCUGAGGAAUAAGCACCGGCUAACUUCGUGCCAGCAGCCGCGGUAAUACGAAGGGUGCAAGCGUUAAUCGGAAUUACUGGGCGUAAAGGGUGCGUAGGCGGUUCGUUAAGUCUGUUGUGAAAUCCCCGGGCUCAACCUGGGAAUGGCAAUGGAUACUGGCGAGCUAGAGUGUGAUAGAGGAUGGUGGAAUUCCCGGUGUAGCGGUGAAAUGCGUAGAGAUCGGGAGGAACAUCAGUGGCGAAGGCGGCCAUCUGGAUCAAACUGACGCUGAAGCACGAAAGCGUGGGGAGCAAACAGGAUUAGAUACCCUUGUAGUC